rfam:Acidovorax sp. 65-7 SCNpilot_expt_1000_bf_scaffold_1667, whole genome shotgun sequence.
CCACUCGUCUUUGGGGAGUAGCCCGCCCGGCCGCGCAAUGCGCUGGGGGCAUGCGUCAACACACUUGGGUUCUUGGAAACCUAUGGCGUAUGCGGCUUUUGAGCUGGGCGAGACCAUUGACUGCAAACCGAUCCACAUGGCCGGAGUCGGGGUGCAGUCAAUGCGUUUUCCACCCAUCCGGCCGGA